AGACCCUGGCCAGCUCAUACUGCAAGUCCUUGAUGGUGGUGUUCUUCGAUUCCAGAAUGUCCUGAGGAGAGAGGGCCUCGUCAGGCUCCUCGACCCUUCUCAAGAGAGGCAGAAAAGCCCUCCCCUCGCUGACGGCCUCACUUCUUGCCUCCAGUGAUCAUGGUGCUUCAUAGACACAUAGCGACAACGACAGAGAUGAGCCCCCAGGCCAGGACCACAGAGCUGCUACCUAGACGAAGCCCCUCCUAAGCACUGCACAACCCGGGCCCUGAGAGCCAUCCCAGGUGACUUAGAUCCCACAGGCCCACAGAGCAUAGCCCCACCGCUUCCUGACGAGCGGACUCCUGGUUUCAGCCAGAAGCAGGCGCAAGGCACCUCAGACUCCCUAGCCCCUCCUCGUCGGUGCCCGCCUGCUCCCCUCCUGCCCUCCAGUUUCUGCCUGUGCCACAGUGGGCUCUCUCUGACCCAGUGUGCCCUGCCAAGAAGCUUCUGUGGUUCCCCACUGGCCCCAAACUCAGGCACAGCUGCCAGGCUUCAGGAUUGGCCCCCUCCAGCUCGUUCUGCUCCCCGUAGCUCACAACGCCUGGGCAGCAGGAAGAGGCUCACAAGUGUACAACAGCACCAAGUGUGAGCUGCAGGCCUCAGACGAAGGCCAGGCAGGGGGCAAGCCAGCCUGGAGUGCUUUAAAUAAAGAUUAGGUGACCUGACA